UUCUGAAAGAGAUUCCAACGAUAUUGUUCCUCUGUGUCAUAAAAUGUUAACUCUGAAAUGUUCCUUUCAUUCUGUUAAAAUUACACACAAAAUUCUGCCUUUCUCUGCCUAUUUCUCUUCAUCUUAUUCCUUUACUCCCUCACUCACUUACACAUUCUUUUAUGCUCUGUUGUAAGGUAGAAACUGAGAGUUUGCAUGAUGGCCUUUUCUCAGACUCUGAAUCUGGUGUAUACAGAUGAACUCAAGGAGCCUGCGAGAGCCAGGGAACUUGAGCUUGAACUGAAGACCAAAAACACAAAGAAAAUCAGUCACAGCAAGCAAGUCAAACCAGUCUUGAUGAAUGAGGAAUGAACGUGGUCUUCUUGUGCACAAACAGAAAAGACUAGAGAGCUGAAAAGUUGCACAUUUCCAUUGCUCCUAGAAUGAGCAAAUCAGCUGUGCAUCAUCUCUGGGAUUUGGGCAGAAAAUGACUGAAUAUGGAAGAUGAAGCCAGUUGAUGAAGAUAUCAAUUCAAUGGCCACCAAGUACUGCACUGCUGCCUGAACCCAUCAGGUAUCUGCUGUGAAGACUGCAUUCACAAACAGCUCUACUGUGACAGCGCAGAUGUUACGGCCCAUAAAAGUAAAUUUCACAACUGAACAGCUGCAAGAUAGUUGUGGAGGGAUUAUUUUGGCCCAUACCUCCAACAAGAAU